GGAGCCGCCGCGUUGCUAAGGGGCGGGAAGCGGCGGCGACAGCGGUGUAGGCGAAGUGACAGCUGAGAGCCCGGCCCGAGCGUUUCUCCCACCCUGGGGCUCUCAGCACUUUAAACUGUACAUGUCAGCAUGUUUAUGAUUAUGUAAUAGCACCUGAGGAGGAGAUCUACCUUAAGACAGUUUGGUUACACUUAGGUACACUAUUUGGAGUCAUCUCCAAUGAUAUUACCAGAUGCCUGUGGAACAGCCAGAGAAAUCGAUGAACUCAGAAAUCCCACAUCCUCCAGCAUCCCAGAUUCCAGGUCUUGGUGAUCUUGCAAAAGCUCACACUGAAGGGACAUUUGGGUGCCGUAGGAAGUGGAUCAAAGAUACUGAUUCAGCUUACAUAAGGCUAGCAAAGCAAGGAGGCCGACCUGACUUGCUGAAGCACUACGCUCCUGUUGCAAGGAAGUCAACGCCAGUAGCAUAUGCUGCACCUGACUGGUACUUGCAUCACUCCAGUCCUCCAGCAACCAAUGAGCCACGGAACGAUAUUUCCACUCUACCUGAUUAUAUGAUUCACAAAGAGUUUAAUGUUGAUGACCAUCAUAGUAGUAAUUAUGAGACAAGAAGAGGGCCUUUUGAUUUUGAUACAAAAAGUGUUUGGCAACGAGAUGCUGAGGACAAAGAAAACACAGAGAAAAAAAAGGUAAAGCUCCCAGCUAUAAAUGCUAAAUAUCCAAGCAGAACAGCAAAUGUUUGUAUGAACAAGGAAUUCAGUGGGAAAAAUAAGCUUUCCUUUCCACCAAUGCCUGCUCAGAGAAAAGGUGAACCAGUGAACUUUAGCAAAUUAAUUAGCAAUGGUUAUGGGACAGACUGGCUUCAGCAACAUAGUGGAUAUAGAAAAAAGAUUCAAGAUACAUCAGAAGAUAGUGAGCAGCCCCAAGUUCUGGGCUUUUCACUGCAAGAAGGACACUGAGUUUCUGGAGUGUGCUCAGAGAAGAGCAAUGCAGCUGGUGAAGGGACUGGAAAACAAGACACAUGACAAGCAGCUGAAGGAACAGAGGUUUCUUAGUCUGGAGAAGAGGCUGAGGGGAGACCUCAUUGCUCUCUACAACUACCUGAAAGAAGGUUGUAGUGAGAUUCAGAGCCAUCACAGUCUGAAUCACCGCCUGCAAGCAAUGAAUUGAAGCCACAAUUUCAGGAGUGUAAACAGUAAUUAGAAAGGCUAUUGGGGAAAGUAAGGUAUUAUAUAGCCUAUGAUAAAGUCCACUAUUUACAUCUUUGCUUGAUUACUUUUAUCUUAUUAGAUUACAUUUAUAGUUGAACUCAUCCCUGAUUGUAGUUCAGCUGAUUUAGAACAUGAAUGAACAUCAUUGUGCUUGAUUAAAGCAAACUUGUAAAAAAGCUGCCAGUACAUAUACCUAGACUUUUUUCUCUAUAUAUAAAGACUGAAGUUUUCUUCUACACCAGACUUGUUGGCAUUUCCUGUUAUAAACUAAUUUUAAAGGACAUACAUCAGUAGGGUAACAGUGGCAUGGGUUAAGUUACACAUUUAUGUUCAGCCUUUUAAAUUAAAAAUACAUUUAUCCUAAAUUUCUGAAUGCAACAAACAGAUUAUAUGCUAAAUACUUGUGUUUAUUCAAAACAAUAAAACAAUUUGACUUUGAAGAAAACCAAUGUAUCUAAAUUAUUCAAGGAUUCUGAAACACACAUACUGACAUGUUAACACUUGUUCUUUAAUCUGCUCAAACUAGAACAUAACCUUAAAUGCUAUGAAAAAUUAAAUGCUUUAUAAUAAACCAUUAGAAAGUUGA